CUGGUAUUCCCUCCUCCCAUGGCACGUUGGGAAGACUAGCAGCUUGUCCAGGUCAACGCGCAUCUCCCAGCCCUUACCAGGGCUCUGCCAACUUCCUCAGCACCUGAUUGUGUCGCCACCGGAAGCGCCCCUGCGUCAGCGCGACGUUGCAACCUGAAAGGAUAUGUUUGAGUCCUGCAUUGUCUUUGCUGCACAGGGAGCACUUGCCCUCGCUUCCAAACCACUGGGCGAGGUUUCAUAUAUAAAGCGCACCGGAUUAUAGGGCACAUUGAAGGAGUCAUAUUAUUAUAAUUUUUUUCUAAAUGUAAAACACUUCCUUGAGGUCUACAUAACAUGUAAUGGUGGUUCUUUGGUCAAAAUGUUGCAUACAUUAUGUUUUACAGAUAAUCUUCAAGCCGCUUUCUGACAGUGACAGUCGCUUCCGGAUGCGCCGUUUUGUGGGAAGUUUUAUUUACGUGGCUCAUCUUCGACAGCGUCUUCUCCCCGUCAUCUUUGUUGUAGCGGUGUAGCGUGCAAGGACGGGAGUGGAAGAAAUGUCAAAAGAUGGAGCAAACUGUUUUAAUGACAUUCAGACUUUACAUAAAUCAAUAACGGAGCAGCAUCUCCUCAUCCGGAUAUGUGUCCCAUGAAAAACCGUCCGACCAGAACUCUAAUAACUAAAGUUCCUUGGGUGAAUAAUAUAAACUCACUACACAGGUAUGUCUUAGCACUUUCAUGGCGAGUUAACUGACAGAUAUAAGUGAGCACUGUACACUACUUUAUAUUAGAAAUGGCAACAGCGGAGGAUGAACGUCCCAUAACAAGAAGAUAGAGAAAAAGAAGAAGCUUAUCGACUACGGUGUCGACACGGACUACAAAGGCGGAAAAUUUUCAGGAUUUAUGCAGAUCCCAAAUACAGAUCAGUAGGUACCAGAAGGUCAGAAAAGUUGCUUUUGCAUAAUAUUGUGAAACAAAACGCCAGAUAAUAUGUCUUACCUUAUACACACACCAUAAUAAUACUUGUAUGUUGAAGCACAUCAAGCGGUGCGGCUUCAUAGCUUACCAAAGUCGUACUAAAACAUUUUGAUAGAUUUUUGAUCGCCGUGUGUAAUGUUCUAUAUUUUCAAUGGAACAUAUAAAAUGUUGGUGUUGUUUACUUUAGUCGUGUUGCCAUCAUAGUGCAGUCUACACGUAUCGCUUAUGUUUGACUGCCAUCUACUGGUCACACUUAUCAUUGCACCAUGUACCAAAUAAAAUUGCUUCGAGGUCGGUAAGCAAAACCAGAAUUAUUCCGUAAAUUAGGCGCACCGGGUUAUAGGGUGCACUGUCGAGUUUUGAGUAAAAAAAAGGAUUUUAAGUGCGCCUUAUAGUCCGAAAAGUACAGUACUAUAUAUAUACACACACGAUAGCAGUAUUUAAUAUUUUAAAAAUAUAUAAAUUUGUUAAGUAGAUGGUAAUAACCACUGCUCAAGUAACAGCCCUUUUGCCCUCCAUGAGAAAAGUUACCUCUUUGCUGGAGUUUUUUUUUUAAUUCAUUGAAGAAUAAAAAUGACUCUCAUUGUCAAUAGUUCUCCCUAAAUAUGUUCUCAUAUUGACACUGCAUUUAUUUGACUUCUUGUGAGAAUUCUUCUCCGGUCUCCUCGACCGCGGCGCACUGAUCACAUGUAGUACGUCCCUUCUGCUUACAUGAACUUCCAGGUUUUGUCCUUCUUCCCAUUUUGUCUUUUUUCACUACAGCAGCAAUCGAGUCGCAUAACAAGCUUGGAGGAUCGCCGCGAGUUUCAUGUUUCGUUAUUCAAUCAAAUAACGGGACAGUGCGGUAGAAAAUGGAUGGAUGGAUGGAUGGAUGAAUGGACAGAGAUGUUUGGACAUGAAGACAUCAGAAAAUAUAUCCUAAAUAUGUGUAAAUAUCUUGACAAAUAGGAGACUUUGUAAGUAAAGAGCAGUCAGCAGCUCAAUCAAUCAAUCAAUCAAUGUUUAUUUAUAUAGCCCUAAAUCACAAGUGUCUCAAAGGGCUACACAAGCCACAACGACAUCCUCGGUACAGAGCCCACAUACGGGCAAGGAAAAACUCACCCCAGUGGGACGUCAAUGUGAAUGACUAUGAGAAACCUUGGAGAGGACCGCAUAUGUGGGUAACCCCCCACCCCUCCACCCCCAGGAAGAAAUUGUCAGCCAGCUUGAAAAAAUGUCUCAACAAUAAGUUACAUAAAGGAGCCCAGAUUUUUUUUUAAAUAAAAAUAAUUAUGUUAGCAAUAUUUUAGAAACCUUACAAUGUAUUAAAUCCAUAAACUGUGAUAGAAUUGUAUAGAAUUGAGUAGAUGGCGAGUUAUUGUGAUCCCAUAUUUUACCAACUUUCCAAGGAGAUUUCCCAUAUUUUGAAAUGCAAAUGUUGAUGCUCCACUGAACCGCAGCAUUAGACACAUGUAACAAAGGUGUUUGUGAAAUUCCCUGAUGUUGUUUGGUGCUAAAUUAACCAUCAACAUUAGUGCCGCGUAAAACAUUAUGUCACUACUAGUGUAACAUUUCCUAAAAAAUGUUUUUUUUUUUAAAUCUCAAAAGUCUUGUCCAGCUGUUAACUGAGAUAUACUAUUUAUGUUUCAAUAACUUUAAAAGACGUGUAAAUGAAUAUCGGCUCCAAAUAUCGGUUAUUGGUCUCCUUGACUACUAAUAAUCAGUAUUGGUAUCGACCCUGAAAAAAAAAUACUUGCAUGUGCUGACAAUGUCUGUGCUG